ensembl:snoRNA SCARNA10 Small nucleolar RNA U85
GCCCUGUGAUGAGACCAAGGCGAAUAUGAGCUUGCUGAAUGAGAGCUGGGUUCCUCUUGCCUUGACUGGCAGGUAAUCUUGGCAGUGCAGAGGAGGAUUCCUGCUCUGCUGUAAGGGCCUGCCUAUAGUGACUUGGCUCGACUCGAAUUAUUCCCUUAAAGUUAUAGCGGAGUAACCACGAGGAUGAAGCUCACAGUGUGUGUUUGUGUGUAAGGGGCAAGAAGUUCACCCAGCUCUCACUGCUGUUCAGUCAGCCAUGAGCUGUUUCUUUGGUAAUCUGAGGGCC